AAAAAACAGAGAGAGAAAGAGAGAGAGAAAGAGAGAGAAUGAAAACUGCAGGAGAUACAACGGGGAGUGGGCUGGUAUUUACACAGCUCUGUCUCGCAAGCUUGAAUCUCAUCCAGCUGCAGCCUUACGGGAGACAGAAGCAAUUUGCAGGUCUCUCGAAGACAGCUGUUUAAUCAUCACCUCAGGAUUCACUCCAUCAGAAUGAUCCAUGAAGUGUUUCAUUUUCCAGAGGGAGCACCGAGGCAGAGGAGGGUGAAGUGAAUUUCUGGCGGAGGGUUUUAGAUUCCCGGCAGCUUUCGAUCGGCUGAGUAGGACUGACCGUUUGUGAAGGAGGAAGAUGGAGAUCUCUUCCUCUCUGGGAGGAGAGUUCCAAAUUCUCAUUACCCUCUGAGGGAGAAAACAAUUCUUAAAUGGAUGCCCCCUGAUUUUAAAAUGAUGCAAUAGCUGAUUGACAUUAUUUCCCUAUUCAACAAACACAUCAACUUGGACCCCAUUUACCACCCUCUGAGAAAAAGAACAGGAAAUGUCACCACCACAGGAAAUGACAUUACCAACCCAAGGAAACCUAAACACCUAAACAGAAAGUGGUUCAUAACACAAGUGCUUCAUCAGAGGCUCACUGAUGAUGUUACCUAGUAUGGUGACGAAACGUCUGAAAACGAACCUUCCAGCUCAACGAGCAAACUUACACCCAGAACCUCAAUCUGAGCGACAAAUCUUUUCAAAACUUGCUGACACUAUUCGCUGCCAUGCUUUUAAAGAAUGCUAGAAAUGAAAGCAAAACACUGAGGACACUGGAGAUCUGAAAU